GGCCUGAUGGUCUAGUAGUAUGAUUCCUUGUUAGGGUGUUUAUGUAAUCCGACUCGAGGAGGUCCUGGGUUCAAUUCCCAGUUAGGCCC